rnacentral:piRNA from 1 species
UCCCAGAUGAUGCUAGAUACUGUCAAACUGA